GUUUUUUGAGAUUACCUCAUGGGGAAGGCGUAACUGCCUAAUCAUAAUAAAAGUCUUCCUUCCUAUGUUUAUAAAACUGACAGAUGUGGUUUCCAGAAAGUCAGAUAAUUUAGAAGUCGAGAAAAAGACAAAACUAAAUGUUCUGGAGGCUGGAAGUCCAAGAUCAAGGUGCUAUCAGGGUUGGUUUCGGCUGUGGCCUCUCUUCCUGGCUUGUAGACAGCUAUCUUCUCGCAGUGUCCUCACGUGGCCUCUUUGUGUGAAGGAAGCUGCUAAAGAAUGUGCUUGACUAAAACAAGGCAAUAAGCAAAAGGAAGUCAUAGCAUCCAGAAAAUGGGAUCCAUCAUGCGCACAAAGAAAAGGUGAAGAAAAUUUCCAGGAUGUUCAGAACCCACCAAAAACGAAAGAUUCUGGUCCAGAUCAGAAGAGAGGGAAACACUCUGAAAAAGUCCCUCAAAUACAAAAUUAAACAGAGUUUAAAUGAUGUGCUUGACCACAAUAAAAGGCUUCUUGCUCUGUAAGAUUUCUGGAAUUAAUUAGUGAUAAGCAAAGAUAAAUAUAAGCAAAUCAUCACAACAGAGUGAACACAUUCCAGUAGACCACAUGGAUGAGCUUUGGAAAAUACAG
rnacentral:lncRNA from 1 species